rfam:Danio rerio chromosome 14 genomic contig CTG1748, GRCz11 reference primary assembly.
UGCCACGGCCAUCCCCCUGCAGCCCAAGACCGGUUACUCACUGAAACUAAGCAGGGGUGAGCCUGGUCAGUACCUGGAUGGGGGACAACAUGGGAAAACUAGGUUGGUGUUGGAA